rnacentral:rRNA from 1 species
AUUGAACGCUGGCGGCAGGCCUAACACAUGCAAGUCGAGCGGAAACGAUGGAAGCUUGCUUCCAGGCGUCGAGCGGCGGACGGGUGAGUAAUGCAUGGGAAUCUGCCCGAUAGUGGGGGAUAACCUGGGGAAACCCAGGCUAAUACCGCAUACGUCCUACGGGAGAAAGCAGGGGAUCUUCGGACCUUGCGCUAUCGGAUGAGCCCAUGUCGGAUUAGCUUGUUGGUGAGGUAAUGGCUCACCAAGGCGACGAUCCGUAGCUGGUCUGAGAGGAUGAUCAGCCACAUCGGGACUGAGACACGGCCCGAACUCCUACGGGAGGCAGCAGUGGGGAAUAUUGGACAAUGGGCGAAAGCCUGAUCCAGCCAUGCCGCGUGUGUGAAGAAGGCCCUCGGGUUGUAAAGCACUUUCAGUGGGGAAGAAAGCCUCGGGAUUAAUACUUCCGAGGAAGGACAUCACCCACAGAAGAAGCACCGGCUAACUCCGUGCCAGCAGCCGCGGUAAUACGGAGGGUGCGAGCGUUAAUCGGAAUUACUGGGCGUAAAGCGCGCGUAGGCGGUCUGAUCAGCCGGUUGUGAAAGCCCCGGGCUCAACCUGGGAACGGCAUCCGGAACUGUCAGGCUAGAGUGCAGGAGAGGAAGGUAGAAUUCCCGGUGUAGCGGUGAAAUGCGUAGAGAUCGGGAGGAAUACCAGUGGCGAAGGCGGCCUUCUGGACUGACACUGACGCUGAGGUGCGAAAGCGUGGGUAGCAAACA